rnacentral:rRNA from 1 species
AGGAAAAGAAACCAACAGGGAUUGCCUUAGUAGCGGCGAGUGAAGCGGCAAAAGCUCAAAUUUGGAAUCUGCCAGCAAUGGCCGAGUUGUAAUUUGUAGAUGGUAACUCUGUAAGGAGUCUUUGCUCAAGUUUCCUGGAAUGGAAUAUCAUGGAGGGUGACAAUCCCGUGAGGCAUUGACGUACUUGCGUGUAGAGUGCUAUCAAAGAGUCGAGUUGUUUGGGAAUGCAGCUCAAAGUGGGUGGUAGACACCAUCUAAAGCUAAAUAUUGGCGAGAGACCGAUAGCGAACAAGUACUGUGAAGGAAAGAUGAAAAGCACUUUGAAAAGAGAGUGAAAAAGUACGUGAAAUUGUUAAUAUGGAAGGGUAUAAGAUUAGACAUGAAGCUUUGAGUUCGGCAGUCUCUCGGGAUUGUUUUGUCUCUUAGUUUCGCACCAGCAUCAGUUUUGGCAGGAGGAUAAACAACAUGGAAUGUAGCUGCUUGCAGUGUUAUAGACUUGUUGCAUACUCUUUGCCGGGAUUGAGGUCAGCCUUUGUAGGAUGCUGGGGUAAUGAUCUUAUACCACCC